UUAGAUCUGGUGAGCAGCUGAAGUACCAGAGCUGGGAAGAGAGAGGUCUUGCAGCAGGUACGCUGUGGCUGUGAGGUGCCUCAGAGUGUGCUUUUCUCUUGUCUCUGCAGGUGCUUUGUGCAGCUGUAGACAGGGAAGGGAAAUCCUCAUGUCACGAAGCUCUGAGGGAAGGUGAGUGGUGUCAGCCUGGUCAUCCCUUAUCCGAAGCAAAGGGAAGACGCUCAGGUGUUUCCCUGUGAGGGUCCGAGGUGGCGUGGGUGAUGCUGGCCGUUCCUUUCAAGCUUGGACCUACUUUUCAGGUACAGAGGCUGAAAUGCAGUGUGUAGUGCGCAGUGCAGGAUGUGUCAACCCGAGCUGCCUCUUCAGUGACUCUGGUGGUGUGGAUGAUACUGGUUGCACUGUUGGAGCUUGGAUUUGGAGAGGAAGAGCUGAUGAUGAGCCUGGCAAUUGACUAAGAUGACAAUGGGUGACUGUGCAUUUCUUGAGGCGGAGGGACUUUACCAUGCAGCAACCUGAGAGCUAAGUUGGGGGGGCACCUGGUAUUUGCAUAUCUGGGGUGGCUAAUGGGAGCU
rnacentral:lncRNA from 1 species